rnacentral:lncRNA from 1 species
GAGAAGAGGAGGAGGCUGAAAAGAAGGCAAAGAGUGAAGAUAGAGAAACAAGAUGGAAGUGGGGGAGAAAAACAGGGAUGAGAGAAUGCCAUGGUGGUGCUGAGAAGGAAAGGAGAGACUUUUCUGCUUGUAAAGGGCAGAAGAUGGCAGAAUCCAGUGACGCAGGGGCAUCUGGCUCCAGAAAUAAUAGGUCACUUGGCACCCACUUCUUCAAAACACAUCUUUGGUGAAUCUAAUACAACAUCCACGAGCCUCACUUUGAAAAACUCU